UACGUAGGCAGCAAGCGUUGUUCGGAAUUACUGGGCGUAAAGAGUGUGUAGGCGGUGCUCCAAGUCUGAUGUGAAAGCCCACGGCUCAACCGUGGAGGGUCAUUGGAAACUGGAGGACUUGAGUGCAGGAGAGAAGAGUGGAAUUCCACGUGUAGCGGUGAAAUGCGUAGAGAUGUGGAGGAACACCAGUGGCGAAGGCGACUCUUUGGCCUGUAACUGACGCUGAGGCGCGAAAGCGUGGGGAGCAAACAGG
rnacentral:rRNA from 1 species